GGAGGAGUGGCUGAGUGGUCGAAAGCGGCGGUCUUGAAAACCGUUGUGCCGCAAGGUACCGUGGGUUCGAAUCCUACCUCCUCCGCCA
rnacentral:tRNA from 1 species